AGUAUUUGUUGCAGUGUCCCACGAUUACAUGAAGUUAUAUAGUAAUUUAAUAAUAAAUAUGAUAAUAAAGAUAUUGAAAACCCCUAGUUUAUCACUUUAUUGGUUAACCAAAAAUUCAUUAAUGAUUAUACAUAAAGAGGUCUUUGGUUCGAGUCUCAGAUACUACAAUUUAUUAUCAGAUUUGCAGAUUUAUGGAGACAAGUGUAUAAGAAAUCUUCAACGAUAUAUAAUUAUAGCCAUCAUUGAAAUUCUCCAUCAAAAGCAUAAAAAAAACGAAAGAAAUGCCGUCUCUCGUGAAUCUAAUAAAGGCGAAAUGAACUUUUUGUAGCAAAAUU
rnacentral:sRNA from 1 species